GAUGAACGCUGGCGGCGUGCUUAACACAUGCAAGUCGAACGAAGCACUUUAUUACGAUUUCUUCGGAAUGACGAUUUGGUGACUGAGUGGCGGACGGGUGAGUAACGCGUGGGUAACCUGCCUUAUACAGGGGGGAUAACAGUUGGAAACGGCUGCUAAUACCGCAUAAGCGCACAGGGUCGCAUGACCUGGUGUGAAAAACUCCGGUGGUAUGAGAUGGACCCGCGUUGGAUUAGCUGGUUGGUGAGGUAACGGCCCACCAAGGCGACGAUGCGUAGCCGACCUGAGAGGGUGAUCGGCCACAUUGGGACUGAGACACGGCCCAGACUCCUACGGGAGGCAGCAGUGGGGAAUAUUGCACAAUGGGGGAAACCCUGAUGCAGCAACGCCGCGUGAGUGAUGACGGCCU
rnacentral:rRNA from 1 species